rnacentral:rRNA from 1 species
CCUACGGGCAGCAGCAGUGAGGAAUAUUGGUCAAUGGCCGGAAGGCUGAACCAGCCAUGCCGCGUGAAGGUCAGUGCCCUAUGGGCGUUAAACUUCUUUUGUGCGGGAGCAAUAAUGGUCACGUGUGGCCAGACGAGAGUACCGUACGAAUAAGCAUCGGCUAACUCCGUGCCAGCAGCCGCGGUAAUACGGGGGAUGCAAGCGUUAUCCGGAUUUAUUGGGUUUAAAGGGUGCGUAGGCUGUGAGGUAAGUCAGCGGUGAAAUGCCCCCGCUCAACGGGGUGAAGUGCCAUUGAUACUGCCUGGCUGGAAUGCGGAUGCCGUGGGAGGAAUGUGUGGUGUAGCGGUGAAAUGCAUAGAUAUCACACAGAACACCGAUUGCGAAGGCAUCUCACGAAGCCGCGAUUGACGCUGAUGCACGAAAGCGUGGGUAUCAAACAGGAUUAGAUACCCCUGUAGUC